rnacentral:lncRNA from 1 species
GGUGAUUUAAUANGUAUGACAUUCAGUCCAAAUAACAUUCAACAUUUAUAUUAUUAGAAAAUAAACAAGUACAUUAUUUGGUAACAUAUAGUCAUUACAAGGAUGAAAUGUCACACGCAAAUUGGGUUGUUGAAAAUACAACUACACCCUUUCAUGAAAACUUCUACGGUAUUGUCAUGGUUGUGAUGUUGAACCUCAAAGACAAGAACGUCUCCUUCCUUCAAGCCAUAUUGCCUGCAAAAAUCUUUCCAACCUUUUCCAAACUUUGUUGAAUUUCUUGAAUGUGAAACCAAGACCUUGCACAUGAUGCCGUCGUUAUGACCAAGAAGCACAACCUCUGUGAAGCCUCUGUUCCUGAUUUCAUUCGCAAAUGCUGUGCGCAAGUNCUG